rnacentral:rRNA from 1 species
CCUACGGGUGGCAGCAGUGAGGAAUAUUGGUCAAUGGACGCAAGUCUGAACCAGCCAUGCCGCGUGCAGGAAGACGGCUCUAUGAGUUGUAAACUGCUGUUGUACGAGGGUAAACGCAGAUACGCGUAUCUGUCUGAAAGUAGCGUACGAAUAAGGAUCGGCUAACUCCGUGCCAGCAGCCGCGGUAAUACGGAGGAGUCAAGCGUUAUCCGGAUUUAUUGGGUUUAACGGGUGUGUAGGCGGUCGGAUAAGGUAGAGGUGAAAUCCCGAGUCUCCACUUCGGAAUUGCCUCUGAUACUGUUCGGCUAUCGAGUAGUUGCGGUAGGCGGACUGUAUGGUGUAGCUGU